AUUGAACGCUGGCGGCAGGCCUAACACAUGCAAGUCGAACGAGUGGCGGACGGGUGAGUAAUGUCUGGGAAACUGCCUGAUGGCGGGGGAUAACUACUGGAAACGGUAUCUAAUACCGCAUACCAUCAGAUGUGCCCAGAUGGGAUUAGCUAGUAGGUGGGGUAACGGCUCACCUAGGCGACGAUCCCUAGCUGGUCUGAGAGGAUGACCAGCAACACUGGAACUGUGCAACGGUCCAGACUCCUACGGGAGGCAGCAGUGGGGAAUAUUGCACAAUGGGCGCAAGCCUGAUGCAGCCAUGCCGCGUGUAUGAAGAAGGCCUUCGGGUUGUAAAGCACUUUCAGCGAGGAGGCGUUACCCGCAGAAGAAGCACCGGCUAACUCCGUGCCAGCAGCCGCGGUAAUUC
rnacentral:rRNA from 1 species